rnacentral:rRNA from 1 species
UACAGAGGUCUCAAGCGUUGUUCGGAUUCAUUGGGCGUAAAGGGUGCGUAGGCGGCGUGGUAAGUCGGGUGUGAAAUCUCGGAGCUUAACUCCGAAACUGCAUUCGAUACUGCGGUGCUUGAGGACUGGAGAGGAGACUGGAAUUCAUGGUGUAGCAGUGAAAUGCGUAGAGAUCAUGAGGAAGACCAGUGGCGAAGGCGGGUCUCUGGGACGGUACUGACGCUGAGACGCGAAAGCGUGGGGAUCAAACAGG